rnacentral:siRNA from 1 species
UAUAAGACUAUUGGGCCGCCCAU